rnacentral:rRNA from 1 species
CCUGCCAGUAGUCAUAUGCUUGUUUUAAAGAUUAAGCCAUGCAUGUCUAAGUAUAAGCAAAAAUACAGCAAAACUGCAAAUGGCUCAUUAAAACAGUUAUUGUUUACUUGAUAAUAAUUUUUACAUGGAUAACCGUGGUAAUUCUACAGCUAAUACAUGAGCAAAAUCUCAACUUUAUUAGAAGAGACGCAUUUAUUAGAUAAAAAGCCAGUUCAUGCUUUUACAGUAUGAAAAUUGGUGAUUUAUAAUAACUUAGCAAAUCGCAAAGUGAAAACAGGCGAUAAAUCAUUCAAGUUUCUGACCUAUCAGCUUUCGACGGUAUGGUAUUGGCUUACCGUGGCAGUGACGGUUAACGGGGGAUUAGGGUUCGAUUCCGGAGAGGGAGCCUGAGAAACGGCUACCACAUCUAAGGAAGGCAGCAGGCGCGCAAAUUACCCAAUUCUAACAGUUUGAGAGAGGUAGUAACAAGAAAUAACAAUACAAGGCAGUUAAAAUGCUUUGUAAUUGGAAUGAUAGAAAUUUAAACCCUUUUUAAAGUAUCAAUUGGAGGGCAAGUCUGGUGCCAGCAGCCGCGGUAAUUCCAGCUCCAAUAGCGUAUUUUAAAAUUGUUGCAGUUAAAAAGCUCGUAGUUGAAGUUCUGCUGAAAGUAACCGGUCUGCUUUUAAUAAAAGUGGUAUCUUGGUAUGUAUUUAGCAAUGAUGUCCUUUGAAGUGUUUUUUACUUUAUUGUAAUAAAGCAUAUUCAGGACUUUUACUUUGAGAAAAUUAGAGUGUUUCUAGCAGGCUAACGCUUUGAAUACUGCAGCAUGGAAUAAUAAGAUAGGAUUUUAGUUCUACAUUAUUGGUUUUAAGAGCUAAAUUAAUGAUGAUA